CCUACGGGUGGCAGCAGUGAGGAAUAUUGGUCAAUGGACGAGAGUCUGAACCAGCCAAGUAGCGUGAAGGAUGACUGCCCUAUGGGUUGUAAACUUCUUUUAUACGGGAAUAACAUGUUCUACGUGUGGGAUUUUGUAUGUACCAUAUGAAUAAGGAUCGGCUAAUUCCGUGCCAGCAGCCGCGGUAAUACGGAGGAUCCGAGCGUUAUCCGGAUUUAUUGGGUUUAAAGGGAGCGUAGGUGGAUUGUUAAGCUAGUUGUGAAAGUUUGCGGCUCAACCGGGAAAUUGCAGUUGAAACUGGCAGUCUUGAGUACAGUGAAGGUAGGCGGAAUUCGUGGUGUAGCGGUGAAAUGCUUAGAUAUCACGAAGAACUCCGAUUGCGAAGGCAGUUCACUGGACUGCAACUGACACUGAGGCUCGAAAGUGUGGGUAUCGAACAGGAUUAGAUACCCGAGUAGUC
rnacentral:rRNA from 1 species